CCCGCAGCAUCAUCAUCAUCUCCCUGCCUCUGUUUAAAAGGCGAGGGUGGACCAGGGGCUUCUCCCACACUAUUGGCUCCCACGCCUGUCACUCAGGCAAGUGGGCGGGGCCACGCGUUGGCACACACCCACACACACCCAUACGCGCGCGCACACGCCCUGUGAAACUUUCUACAACAAAGGGUCGCGUGGAAAAGUUUGGCUGCUGUGCGCAAUGCUCGGGUAGCAGAGUCUGAGGAAUAAGAGAGUAACAGAGAGUAACAGAGAGUAACAGAGAGUAAUAGAGAGUAACAGAGAGUAAUAGAGUGUAACAGAGAGUAACAGAGAGUAACAGAGAGUAAAGCUGAAGGAAAAAAACCUGUGCUGAGAAAUUCCACGUUCAGAUCACCUUUAUUCACACCACAAUGAUGUCAUUCCUGUGGAUUCUGGUGUUUGGGAGCCUCAUUGCGCUGCAAGCAGGGAAAGUGGAAGCAGCAGAGGAUGAUGUAGCAGAUGCAGAAGACCCGCCCCCAGUUGAGGAAGGGGGCUCUGCCCCUGUUGAGGAAGCUGCCCCACCUGAGGUAGCUGCCCCACCUGAGGUAGCUGCCCCACCUGAGGUAGCUGCCCCGCCACCUGAAGAAGAGGAAGCUGCUUCCCCAGCUGAGGAAGAGGAAGCUGCCGCUCCAGCUGAGGAAGAGGAAGCUGCUUCUCCAGCUGAGGAAGAGGAAGCUGCCGCUCCAGCUGAGGAAGAGGAAGCUGCUUCUCCAGCUGAGGAAGAGGAAGCUGCCGCUCCAACUGAGGAAGAGGAAGCUGCUUCUCCAGCUGAGGAAGAGGAAGCUGCCGCUCCAGCUGAGGAUGAAGAGGCUGAAGCAGAGCCAGCAGUAGGAGAGUCAGAUUCUGCUGUAGAUCCCACUGUUGCACCAGAGCCAGAGGAAGUACCUGAUCCUAUAGCUGCAGAAGAAGGUAAAUCAUGUGUAAAACUAUUUAUAAAAACAGUACAAAGCGUGUGUUUGCUGUAAUACAUAAUAUCGUAUAUUGGGUAAUGGACCCAAUG
ensembl:lncRNA